GGGGCAAUUUUGCAAUGAUUCCCUCCCUUUAUUGAUUCCCUCUUUAUCAGAAUCCUUGAGAGGUCCCUGUCAUCAUUGUCAGUAUCAUCAUCAUCAUCACCAUCAUCAUGGAACUGAUUCCUCUGGGAGAUUCUAGGAAAAUAAAGAGCCGGACGGGGUUAUGUGAAGCAUCCCAGACUGACGAAGACAGUGGAGAAUGCCUCUGAGUUUGGCACUGAUUGCCUGGAGAAUGCUGAAACCCAGGGAAGUGGGCAGCACAGACGUUUACUCAUUUAAUCCUGCCAACACAGUAGGAGAUAGAGUCCACAUAUUCCUCGCUACUUAAAAGAUCCCUGCCUUCUCUCUGUUCCUCCUGUCCAUGUCUCUUCCUCCACUUUUCCCCUUCUCCCGUCCUCCUCCCAUCUUCUCCGUCCCUUGCUUCCCCACCUUCUCUCACAGAACUCGGAGAGGAUCGCUGGCCCUCCUGCGCAUGCGCAGUCUUUGCCAGCUGGAAUGAGGGUUGGAAGCUCCAGCUCCGAGCCGGGGAUCGGCCCCAAAGGCUGCUCAGCUCUUUCGCCCGGUAGGACAUUUGCUCCUGCCCCGGCGCCCCGUCCACAGCUGUCCAGGGUCAGGUGUGCACCUGCCGCCUCUCGCCCCAGCCGGGCUCCCCUGUGUCCGUGGCUGGCGUCCCUUUCCCUUCUCCCACCCGCGAGUCCUCUCCUCCCGGGCUGCCUCUCCUCGGCCGCCGGCCCGUCCCCGCCCCUGGGCGGGCUGUGUCCCGGGCGGGCGGGGUCUGCGGACCCGGACGGGGGCGGGCGGCUGGGGCUGGGGCUGGCCUCCGAGCGGGGCUACAGCCCGCGUACCCACCCCCGCUUUCCCUGCCCCGCGACCCCGGGGCUGCCCUCCUCUCCCUUUCCCGCCCCCUGGGGACCAGCUCAGUGGCGUCUGCGCUGCUCCCCCGGCUGAGUGCCUCCGGCUGUAAACCCCAGCUUCUCCUGGUGGAGUCGGGAAAAUGGAGCGUCAGUGCUGAGCGAGCUUCCGUCUCCUCCCUCAGUGUUUCUGCCCCAGAUGAGCUGGCAGAUGUAGUGGCCUGGGCAAAGCUGAGGACACAGAUGCCAGCACCGUGCCACUCCCAGGCUGGCUCCAUUCCCGUCACCUGUCACCUCCUGCUGAGUCCCCAGGCGUCAGUCAAUGUCGGUACAUCGGUGCAACGAGGCACUGGUGACAUGUUUGCUCAGCAACUGCUUGGCUCUGAGUCUGCAGACCCACCAGAGAAUACCAGCUUGUUUUUGCCUUUUGAAGUCUGUCCUUGGGAUUUGGCGGAGUAGCUGGAUGUGUGCUUAGCCCAUAGUGGUUGACACUGUCACCAUUGUUUACCCAGAACCUCGUGUACCAGGCAUGGCUCCCGGCAUCAAAAUACAGCAGCGCAUUAAACCUCCCUCCUGGUGGGUCUGUCUGUUUUGGUACCGUAAGGGCUCAGCCAGCCUCUGAACGUCAGUGAGAUAACGCGGCCAGUGAGCUCGGGUCAAUGUAAGAAUUCCGGUGACUGAGUUAGAAGCAUGCUUCCAAGCUGUGCGUGUCCUCGGCAUCCAGAAGCGGAGCCUGGAAGCUUCCGAAUUUCUCCAGAAUGCAGUCUACAUUCACCUUCGGCAGGUGAGUGUAUGUCCUUACACAAGUGGAGGAAUUACUGCAGUUUUCCUGGAACUUACUCACCACUAGUCCAUCUGAUUUUUCUGUGCUAGGAUUCAGUACGGCCUGCUAAAAAAUCUGGAGUCAGAUCUUGAAACCCUGAUGAAGAGGAUUAUUUAUUUUAUUUCACUAUAUGAUAAUCUUUUACUUUCAAAAUUCAGAAUUUUUGGUUCUUUCAGGCAUUUUUGGGGGGGUUGGCAAAACAAAUUUGCUCUUACCGUCUUUGCGACCUGUUGCUUUGUGCCUCUCACCUGUCUUCUGUCACUUGUGAGGCAGUUCCAUUUGUGACCCUGUCCGGGUUGUUCAUGUUAUACAACAUAAAGUCUGUAAAAGUACAGUCCCUUUUACUCCGAAGACAUUCCACAAAUACUACUUAAAUCUGGGUGUGGUUUUAAGAAGACAGAAUCAUUAGAACAUGUACUUGCAGGUUGCUAGUGCAAAAUCCCCAGAUCAAUAGUCUAGCUCAACAUCUAAAAUCUUUCUAAUCUACCUUGGAUUUGUAUGGAUAAGUGAAGCAAUUUGCUAAGAAUUGAACACCAGGGUUAGAAUACAGGCUGGUGUAGCUCAGCAGGUCCUCCUGAGCCAGCGCUGUGCCAGAGGG